GCUUUACUGUAGCUUGACAUUGGGUCUUGGUACUACAUGUACAGGAUAGGUGGGAGGCUUUGAAACCAGGACGCCAGUUUUGGCGGAGCCAGCCUUGGGAUACCACCCUUGUAGUACUGGGACUCUAACCAUAGGCCAUGAAUCUGGUCUUGGGACACUGUCAGGUGGGCAGUUUGACUGGGGCGGUCGCCUCCCAAAAGGUAACGGAGGCGCUCAAAGGUUCUCUCAGUACGG
rnacentral:rRNA from 1 species